rnacentral:rRNA from 1 species
CACGCUGUAAACGAUGAGUACUAGGUGUCGGGGGUUACCCCCCUCGGUGCCGCAGCUAACGCAUUAAGUACUCCGCCUGGGAAGUACGCUCGCAAUAGUGUAACUCAAAGGAAUUGACGGGGACCCGAACAAGUAGCGUAGCAUGUGAUUUAAAUCGAAGCAACGCGAAGAACCUUACCUAAGCUUGACAUCCCAAUGACAUCUCCUUAAUCGG